CGACAGCUCAUUCCUUCCUCGGCACUCUGUACAACAGCUUAUAUUGCAGCAAUCCUUAUAACUAUCAGUAAAAUAAAAUUGCCAGGAACAGACAUAACCCGUGUGAAAGGCUGGUGGUUGAAUCUGAAUGUAAAGCUCGCCUGGGCUGUCCUCUGCCCGUAGCUGUCAGCCUGCACCGGCGCCUGUCGGGGCGAGUGAUGGAUUAACACCCGGGUAAUGAUCCGGUCCCUCUCCAGCAGCGCUCCCCCAGUACCUCCAGGUAUGCAGAGAAGGGGGACAUGUGGCAUCGUCUCACCCGAUAACACGGGGCUUGGCAACUGGCGAACGCGAUGUUUGUUAACCCAUUUCAAUGUGCUUAAAUAGGUGAACCCUAUGAAAUGCAGGCCGGAGAGAUGAGGGUCUGGUUUAAUUUGUUUUAGUUUUUAAUCUUAGGUUGCGCUUUGGCAGCAGCAUGUGAAACUUCCAAGCUGAAAGGCUUUGCACUCUGUUUUAUUCCAGACAAUGUUAGUGAGGGAUCGGCUGGGUUCACUGGACUCCACAAGGUUGAUCAUCCUGGUGGAAGGAGCCUGGCUGUGUGUGGAAGAGACUUGGUGUCAGUGGUACCCCCAGUGCUAAGGACCCCAGAUCAAAAUCUGCAUGCAGUAAAUUUGCCUUUCAUUGGUGAUUUGUUCUGGAGUUCCCAGGGGACAAGAAAAGCAGGAGAGUGCAGCAGGCAGGACAUGACCACAGUGCUCGUAGCACUACCAGGGUAUGUCUUGGCUAUGCAGAAAGCAGCAGCGUGCCCCAUCUUUGUAAAUGCCUCAUUCUGUGGCUUGAAGUAAAGUGUUUAUUGGAUUUCCUAUCAAAAUGCUUUCCUAACUAGUCCUGCCUUAAAUCUCUUCCUUGGAAGUCUCCUGGCUCACGUGAAGUUUUGCUCACCUUGGUGUGCUUUUCUCCAAGGAAGGCAACAGAACCAGCACCAAAUGUGAACGGAGUGGCAUGGAUUUGUGGUUAGGCACAGAUGGGAUUCCUCUCCCAGAGUGAUCUUAUGUUGUCUCCAUUCAUUAAACUCACUAGAAAAGCUGUUGACACGACUCUGCAGUGUCUCCUGUUAGAGUUAUCGCACUCUUUUAGAAGUAAGCACUUGUUGGGUCACAGAGAAUUACCUGAUAACGUAGUGAUUAGGAUCCUG
rnacentral:lncRNA from 1 species